UUUAUUGUUCAUGAAGUUGAUGACAUGAGCAUAUUAUUGUCAUGUUUUGUUGAUCGUGCAAAUUUUAAAUUGCUUUAUUAUACUAUACUUCUCCGGUUUUAGAAAAUGGAUUCUGUGAAUUCUAAUAAAGAUACACGCCCUCAUAUUGAGCUAAAUACUCUUUUCGAGACAGGAGCAUGAUUAACCAAUGGAUCGUUUGACAUUUCUACCGUCAGUACCAAUCUGCUCAGCAACUCCUUUUCUAACAACCAUCAUAUGGCCAUCGGUAUAUAGGACGACCUCAUAAGACCUUUCCGGACAUCCUACAAGAUCAGAAGAUACUGGAUUGCAAUCUGAUAAGGUUCGUUGGCUCAUGAGUGAUAGAGAUAAAUGGAGAGAAGCGCUGUCACGAAACUGGAAACUCGUUCCAGACUUCAUCGACCUAGGCAGGGACGUACUAAAGAGAAGAAAUUAACGAGGUCAGCGAUAUGAAGAAGACUGAAAGUAAAAAUGUGCGACUGUGCGUACUAAAUCAC